CCUACGGGAGGCAGCAGUGAGGAAUAUUGGACAAUGGGCGCAAGCCUGAUCCAGCCAUGCCGCGUGCAGGAAGAAGCAUCUAUGGUGUGUAAACUGCUUUUGUACGGGAAGAAACACUCCGACGUGUCGGAGCUUGACGGUACCGUAAGAAUAAGGAUCGGCUAACUCCGUGCCAGCAGCCGCGGUAAUACGGAGGAUCCAAGCGUUAUCCGGAAUCAUUGGGUUUAAAGGGUCCGUAGGCGGUUUAAUAAGUCAGUGGUGAAAGCCCAUCGCUUAACGAUGGAACGGCCAUUGAUACUGUUAGACUUGAAUUAUUGGGAAGUAACUAGAAUAUGUAGUGUAGCGGUGAAAUGCUUAGAUAUUACAUGGAAUACCAAUUGCGAAGGCAGGUUACUAUCAAUAUAUUGACGCUGAUGGACGAAAGCGUGGGGAGCGAACAGGAUUAGAUACCCUGGUAGUCCACGCCGUAAACGAUGGAUACUAGCUGUUCGGAGCAAUCUGAGUGGCUAAGCGAAAGUGAUAAGUAUCCACCUGGGGAUACGUUCGCAAGAANAGAACGACGAAGAAGUAGACGACGUGAGACGUAGACGACGGACGACGACGAGGGAGGAGG
rnacentral:rRNA from 1 species